rnacentral:ncRNA from 1 species
CGAACAGGGGUGCGCAAGCUGAGAUAUACCCUUAAUACCUGAACUAGGUAAUACUAGCGUAGGGAGUUUCU